rnacentral:lncRNA from 1 species
UUCGGGAACCGGUCUCUCCCUGCGCGCGACCGGUCUCUCCCCGCGUAGACGCGCUCAGGGACCGGUCUCGACUGCCAGGGACCGGUUGCCUCGCCGGCAGCACAGCACUGUUCACUGGGGGACCGGUCUCUCCUAUCAGGGACCGGUCCCCGAGAGUAAAAACUCUCAGGACUCUGCCAAAACUCUCGAGGUCGAACUUUUAAGCCGGUAUACCAUCGACGGCCCUCCACCAAGUGUGAAAAAGUUCGGAAUACAAAUUGGACACUCGAACCUCGUAAUUUGCAAAGGUCCAGUGUGCUACAUAUACAUCGGAUACAAGAGUCACUGUAAGGACUGAGAUUUUGGUAGUAUAGCUAAACUCUCUGUUGACGAUGUUUUUGUGUGUAAUUUAAUUACAUAAGCACUCGUCAAGUUUCAGGAGAAAACGAGUUAGAAUGGAGAAGUUACGCGAUAAAUACUAAUCACUUAAAGUGAAUAGUAAUGCCGGUUUUUCGGAGAGGCUGAUGAGUAGAGUUGGCUUCUGGCGUGUAUUAGACUCCAUUCUUAGCGAUCCAAUAGCUCGUUUUGAUUGGUUCAGCUAUUCUGGAACCAAUGGCGCUGACGGAUUUCAGAUCUGACGCACAAAUUUUGAGAAAUCUGAAAAUACAUGUAUUAUAUGUAUUUGUGCGUAGUUGUGAUAAUUGGAGAGGAUGUUUUUCGUGGCAAAUUGGCGACCAAAUCGGAUGAAACUAAAUGGUAGAAUCGAUGCCACAAUCGUGCUGAACGCGAUGGAAUGAUUCGAUUAGAAAUCCGACGGACGGAUCUUCGGGAAACGCAAAAUAUUCGGUAAGGGGUCGAAAUGGGCAAAACGGAAAAAUGGAGGAAA